ACAUUUUUAUAGCGCUUUUACCAUAAAUGCUAUUACUCAUUUUGGGUAAUUUCAAUAAUUAGCAAUUGGAAAGAAAAAACGCUAUAGUAAUAUUCAAUAUUUAGUGGGCCGUGAAAAUAUAACAUAUUUUGGGAAAAAUAAUUCAAUUCCUCUCGCCGUUUCCUAUAAUAUCAAUCGGCAACUAUCUCUCCUAUCGACGCCACAAAAUCCGCUAUUUCUAGGGUCUAGACCCUCGUCUCCCUUGCGUCGAUUUGUCGAUGUGCCAUCUCGCCAUUUCUCUCUGUUCUAGGGAUAGUUAGUGUCUCCCAAUCUCUGUUUCUCCGUUUAUUUAUUUAAUUUGUCUGCGGUGCUAAAUGCCCUAAUAUCAGUUUUUUGCUAGAGAAAUCAGGAAUCAUCGAUGGAGGUUAGCGAGGUAGAAGUUGUUUGGAGAAAAUUAAUGUGUCCAACUGCAUACUCUUCUUCCACAACCCUCCAAGAAACUCCCCAAUUUUUCAGGGUUGGAUAGGGGUGAAACGUAUAAGCAUUAGUUAAUGUGUACUCCGUGUGUGGAAUUUAAUUGUGGGUAUUGAGCAACACAAAUGCAUGUUGAUGAUCCUUGAUUUGAUAUUGCUUCUUUAUUUAUAAGGUCAAAAAUUGUAAAACAGAAUUGUAGAACAAUAAUGAAUUUCAGAUGAAAUGGCUUCAUGUAGUCGCAAGUUAUUCAUUGAGAUCCAUUAGAGUUUUUUUCGUGAUACUAUCGCAUGUAUUUUAUUUACUGUGUAUUGUAGUAGUAUGACUUCAAGUAGACAACUUUAUGUUUUUUUGUAUAAAUUUGAUCCAUAUUAAUAAAAAAUGUUUAUUUUUAAUA